CCUACGGGUGGCAGCAGUGGGGAAUAUUGCACAAUGGGGGGAACCCUGAUGCAGCGACGCCGCGUGAGCGAGGAAGGAUUUCGGUAUGUAAAGCUCCAUCAGCAGGGACGAAAAAAGACGGUAGCUGACUAAGAAGCCACGGCUAACUACGUGCACGCAGCCGCGGUAAUACGUAGGGGGCACGCGUUAUCCGGAUUUACUGGGGGUAAAGGGAGCGUAGACGGCAAGGCAAGACAGAAGUGAAAGGGCAGGGCUCAACCCUGUACAUGCUUUUGGAACUGGGGUGCUAGAGUGCAGGAGAGGUAAGUGGAAUGCCUAGUGUAGCGGUGAAAUGCGUAGAUAUUAGGAAGAACACCAGUGGCGAAGGCGGCUUACUGGACUGUAACUGACGUUGAGGCUCGAAAGCGUGGGGAGCGAACAGGAUUAGAUACCCCAGUAGUC
rnacentral:rRNA from 1 species